AUUGAACGCUGGCGGCAGGCCUAACACAUGCAAGUCGAGCGGCAGCGGAAAGUAGCUUGCUACUUUGCCGGCGAGCGGCGGACGGGUGAGUAAUGUCUGGGAAACUGCCUGAUGGAGGGGGAUAACUACUGGAAACGGUAGCUAAUACCGCAUAACGUCGCAAGACCAAAGAGGGGGAGCUUCGGGCCUCUUUCCAUCAGAUGUGCCCAGAUGGGAUUAUAUGGCCGGUAGGGUAAUGGACUACCUGGGUGACGAUCCCUAGCUGGUCUGAGAGGAUAACCAGCCACACUGGAACUGAGACACGGUCCAGACUCCUACGGGAGGCAGCAGUGGGGAAUAUUGCACAAUGGGCGCAAGCCUGAUGCAGCCAUGCCGCGUGUGUGAAGAAGGCCUUCGGGUUGUAAAGCACUUUCAGCGAGGAGGAAGGCAGUAAGGUUAAUAACCUUGCUGAUUGACGUUACUCGCAGAAGAAGCACCGGCUAACUCCGUGCCAGCAGCCGCGGUAA
rnacentral:rRNA from 1 species